AAACGAAUUAUUAAAUUAACCACAUGUGUAGGUAUAAACCAAAGUUAUACUUAGAUAUUAUAAACGUAGAUAAUAGGUAAGACGUAGGUAGUUACGUGCAAUGUUUACUAGAAACUACAUCAAGAUUGCAAAUAUUUGUAUAAGAUAACUGAAUACUGAUAUAUUCAGCAAAUACAAUCUUAAUUAUUUCAUCAAAAUAAAAUAUUUUUAUGCAUUUAUUAUAAACUAGAAAUUUAAUUUUUUACUAAGAUCCUUCAAAAAUCUAAUCCUAUUAUGAUAUGAUUGUAUUAGAAUUACAGUAAUCCUUGCAGAUUAAAUGCAAUGCAAUGAUACAUUAAUUAUAAUUUAUACUAGAUUUAGACAAGUACCUACUCUUCUAUAUAUUUUAUCAUAGGUACCUAGCUGAUAGAUGCUAAGUAGCAACUAUCUUUUAAUACCUACGUCUUUUGCGAAAUGAGAACCUCAGGAACUUUUGCUUUCUUAUUCAUUAAACAUGGGUAGCUGUAUAUAGAAUAAAUAAAUAUGUACUAUGAAUCCAGAAUCGGUAUGUAUAAAAAAAUUAAUUAUUUAUAGAAAUUACGAAUAGUAUAGCAGGGUUUUUUUCAGGAUAAUUAAUAUUUAUUAGAUAGUCAGAUGACUGAUGAGUAAGUAUAUAUUAUUGUUAUUUUCUUUAAAAUUCUUUUAGUCCGAUAUCAAGGUUACAUAUUAUUUUAUAUACCUAUACCUAAUACGCAUAGACCCAUAGUAUAUUGUAGAUAUAUAUGGUUAAUCUUAAUAUGCCUGUAUACAGUAUAUGGCUAUAUGAUAAAAUCUCAAAUUAUAACCUAAAAUAUUAUUGUUAAACAUAUAACAAAAAAAAAUCUUCCUUAUAUAUUAUAAGACUUGUUUUUUAUAAUAAAUAUAUAUAUAUUAUAUUAUUUAUAUUGACACACAAUAAAAAUCAACUGUAUCUCCGUGAACACGAUUGCUGUGCCCAUAAUAAUGCAAACGACAAGGAUAUAUAUGCGAUAAUUAUAGUAAAUACUUGUAAUUUUGAGCAAGGUUUUUAGUGGUAUCCAUACGGAAUCGGACACGUGAGUUCGGAUAAACAUCGGUACAUAUACAUUACAAAUUAUUGCAAUAUAGGUAGACGUAGACGGUAGACAGGUACAUAAGGUACAACAUUAUAUUAUUGUGUUCAUAACCCAUAUAUACGAGUUGGUAAACGAUUGACGACCAACGAGUUUACACAUCGUGUAUAUAAAUAUAAAUAUUAUAUACUAUUCACUUUGAGAUAUGCGUACAUAAGUAUAUUAUAUUCGUGACUUCUGAAAUGAAUAUAAUAUAGAUAAUCGUAGUCAGUGUAUAGCCGCUAAAUAAAUUUAAUACACCUAUUAUCGUAUUUGUAUACAAAUACCUAUACAGGUUACAGGUACAGCGUAUAUUAGGUAUGUUCUCCUUGAUGAAACCGUGACAUUGAUCAACGUUAGCUUUUAUUUGGAGGUCAUAUUAUUUUUGUGUUUCUUUAUUUUUUUUUUUUUCAUGUUUAAUUUGAUAUGAACGAUAUGAUAAUAUUGUAUUAAAUUCUGUACAAUUAUGUUUAUAAUAUAUUUAUUAGACGCGUAACAUUAGCUGAUGUGUGCAACUAUGUGAAUAUUUGAUAUUAUGAGUAUUACAAUAGGCGUUAUGUUUAUUUCCUAUACUGUCAUACCUACGUAUAUAUUACAAUAAAUAGUACCUACAUAUCACGUCCUAUACAUUUCAUUAUAUCGACGUUAAAAUUGGUAAAAGUAGUACGAGUGUAAAUGUUUGACUAGUAUCUAUUAGUAAAUUAUAUAUACCCAUAUACAUUUAUAAUAUAUUAUCUGUUUUAACGUUUAAAGUAUUUAUUGGAAUUAUUGUCAUAGUUGGUAUUGUAAUGGUAUACAAUGUAAUUCAGAGCUAUAAUAAUAUAUAAAAUGUGCUAUAUUGUGUUUAA